rnacentral:rRNA from 1 species
AGAGUUUGAUCCUGGCUCAGAACGAACGCUGGCGGCAUGCCUAACACAUGCAAGUCGAACGCGUGUAGCAAUACACGAGUGGCGGACGGGUGAGUAACGCGUGGGAACCUGCCCAAUGGUAGGGAAUAACUGCGGGAAACUGCAGCUAAUACCCUAUGCUCCCUACGGGGGAAAGAUUUAUCGCCAUUGGAGGGGCCCGCGUCGGAUUAGCUAGUUGGCGGGGUAAUGGCCCACCAAGGCUACGAUCCGUAGCUGGUCUGAGAGGAUGAUCAGCCACACUGGGACUGAGAUACGGCCCAGACUCCUACGGGAGGCAGCAGUGGGGAAUAUUGGACAAUGGGGGAAACCCUGAUCCAGCAAUGCCGCGUGAGUGAAGAAGGCCUUAGGGUUGUAAAGCUCUUUCGGCGGGGACGAUGGUGACGGUACCCGCAGAAGAAGCCCCGGCUAACUUCGUGCCAGCAGCCGCGGUAAUACGAAGGGGGCUAGCGUUGUUCGGAAUCACUGGGCGUAAAGGGCGCGUAGGCGGCGCGACAAGUCAGGCGUGAAAGCCCCGGGCUCAACCCGGGAAUUGCGCUUGAUACUGUCGUGCUUGAGGCCGGGAGAGGAUGGCGGAAUUCCCAGUGUAGAGGUGAAAUUCGUAGAUAUUGGGAAGAACACCGGUGGCGAAGGCGGCCAUCUGGACCGGUUCUGACGCUGAGGCGCGAAAGCGUGGGGAGCAAACAGGAUUAGAUACCCUAGUAGUCC